CCUACGGGAGGCAGCAGUAGGGAAUAUUGCUCAAUGGGGGAAACCCUGAAGCAGCAACGCCGCAUGGAGGAUGAAGGUUUUCGGAUUGUAAACUCCUUUUGUUAGAGAAGAUAAUGACGGUAUCUAACGAAUAAGCACCGGCUAACUCCGUGCCAGCAGCCGCGGUAAUACGGAGGGUGCAAGCGUUACUCGGAAUCACUGGGCGGAAAGAGCGCGUAGGCGGGAUAGCAAGUCAGAUGUGAAAUCCUAUGGCUUAACCAUAGAACUGCAUUUGAAACUGUUAUUCUAGAGUAUGGGAGAGGUAGGUGGAAUUCUUGGUGUAGGGGUAAAAUCCGUAGAGAUCAAGAGGAAUACUCAUUGCGAAGGCGACCUGCUAGAACAUAACUGACGCUGAUGCGCGAAAGCGUGGGGAGCAAACAGGAUUAGAUACCCCAGUAGUC
rnacentral:rRNA from 1 species